GCAGUGUAGUAACAGAUGUCAUAAUCAACCAGGUAAGCAGCUUCCAUGGCCACAUUGUGAAGGAUGCUGCUCUAACUCCACUGUGAAAGGAAGACUGUCUCAGCUGAGAGAAGAAGAAGCUGCGAUGCCAGCUCCCAGUUCAGACAAGGACACCCUCAUCAGCAGAUAGUGAAAAGAAGGCAUAGGCAGAACUAGCUGCCUUGAGAGAAGGUUCUGUUAGUGAUGUGCACAGUGCCAUGGGUCAGCAACCCGUACAUCUUCCCUUCAGAGUUGGAGUUAGAGUCAGGGAGAACGAAGAGCCAGAGGCUAAAAUGCCACAGGCAGGGGCUAACUAUGAACUGAUCACACAAACUUUUGGAUUAUGCAGGACUUCCUGUCUCACUGUUCUUCCUACUGGUCAUUUUCUUCUAGAUGAUUAAGUUGAGAUGGACUCACUCCACCCCCUCACCAACAGGGAGUACUACCUGGACCUUGGAAACUCCUGCCCUAUGCACAAACUGCUUAGUCAAGAGGUUCACAACAGGACACAGCAGCUCUAAAGUUACCUGACUUACUGAAGAUCUUCCCGCCCCUUGCUUUUGAGCCAGGUCGAAAUAGGACUUGAAAUGUGGUACUGGGGCCAUUCCAGCUUCUAAAGCCACUACCACAGCACCUCUGUGAGCUCCACAAGGUCCAUCUACAAAGGGACUGCGACAACCUUCAAGACUUUCAUAUCCAGAAGUGGGAAAAUCCCAGCUUCUUUUUUCCAGAGACCAACCAAUUCCUCCUGCACAAUAAUAGGCCGGAUACAAAAGGCAUAGAAAUGAACAAUUCAUGCCUAAACACAGAAGAGCUUGAAAGCUGAUAAAUGUCAGAUGUUUGUUCUGGGUCAUCAUUAAGGUCUUGAGUGGAUUUGCUUAUAAACAGCAGCUAUUCUGUCAGCGGGAGCAGGAGAGAUGGGGAUUUUACCAUGUGGAGACAGCGCUUUUAAAGACACAUUGCAACUUUUCUGCCGUGCACGAUGACGCAGCCCUGCACCAUGUGCUCCAGCAGGGACAGUUCCAGCUCCCCAGUCCCUGAUGUCACAGAGCUUAGGUGAGCAUGUAAGACAGUUCCAGAAACAGCUUGAUUCCACAGAGAGCGUUUCCUACGAGGAGAGCGAGAUUAAGACACCAGGUGUUGUCACCAAGCACCCCUAACACACAUUCCGCAUCAUAGCCUGUGCCUGUGGUGGUACCCUAGAUUUCAAAACCCUACUGAAACACAAAGAACCCCUCAACCAUGCUGUGGGUGAUGAGGAACUGAGAGCCCCAAACUUCUGAAGCCUGGUGUCAAGUUCUCAUACUGAGGUGACUCACAUGCUCCAUGUAAAGUGUGCUUCAGUAAAA